CGGGGCGACCUAUGAUUGGUCAGCAAUGUAUCAGAUUCCAUACCGGGGGGUGGGGAUGAAAAAACUGUUGUAGUGUUACAUAAUCAGAUUAUUUCAACUUACUUAUCCUGUGGAAAUACAGCUAUAUAGGAGAUAUUUUGAAAUUCAUAGGCACUGCAUGUUUCAACAUUUUAGAUUUGACCACAAUUUGGCACUUGAAACUAUGUUAACAGAGAAAAACUGUGUGGUUUUCGAUGAAAGUGUUAAAAGUCUAAUAUUGCAUCAUGAUUACUGUUUUAAAGUAUUUUCGUGUUUGAUUUAUAUUGAAUUCAUCUCAUCUUUUUGAAGAAUGCAUUUAUGUUCAAAAAUAAAAAUGUUCUGUGGAAUUCAAAAUUCAUGUGCUUUUAAAUUAUCAGAUUCCAAACUGGGGGGUAGGGAUGAAAAAGCUGUUGUAGUGUUACAUAAUCAGAUUAUUUCAACUUACUUAUCCUAUGGAAAUACAGCUAUAUAGGAGAUAUUUUAAAAUUGAUAGGCACUGCAUGUUUCAACAUUUUAGAUUUGACCACAAUUUGGCACUUGAAACUACGUUAAUAGAGAAAAACUGUGUGGUUUUCGAUGAAAGUGUUAAAAAGUCUAAUAUUGCAUCAUGAUUACUGUUUUAAAGUAUUUUCGUGUUUGAUUUAUAUUGAAUUUAUCUCAUCUUUUUACAGAAUGCAUUUAUGUUCAAAAAUAAAAAUGUUCUGUGGAAUUCAAAAUUCAUGUGCUUUUAAAUUUCUGUCUGAAAUUCCGCAGUUUUCUGAUGUAUUAUAGUGUUUGCAGAAUGCCGCACAGCUCAUCUGAAAAUGCAUAGAUUUUCAUAUUCUUUGGCCAGGGAAUUGCAUAUAUGUUUGUUUAUUAGAUAACAACAGAUUUGUUUAAACUGCAGAAACAUGUGAGGUAUAUAUGAUAUAAAGAAGCAUGGCCGACUCGGGAUGUUGAUAUUUUUUCAACGGCUUAUUUCCUGAAGUUUUGAAUGGAAAGUGUCAGAAAUGGUGCCAGGGCAAUGUUUCAUAGAGUGGAAUGAUUGACCUCAACACAAGUAUUAAAAAAAAAAGAAGCAAAACAGGUCUACAUCUCAAAACCUGAUCUCUUCCUGGACUGGCUUUAGGAGAACGAUGAUGCAUAUCAAUUUCAUCCCUGAUCUCUAUGACACCUGUGGUGAAAGUGGAGGGCAAAUCGUAAUCAGUUUGGGUUCCAGCCCCGAGGACCUCUGUAAACUUUGCUUUUUGGUGAUGACUUAAUUUCCGAGCUUGAAAAGGAAGCUUGUGUGUUUAUCAUGGCCUCUCAUAUUGGAUGAUAACAUUAAUGGUUUGUGUGUUGAUCGACGGUUGUGCAUAUCUCUUGGUCAGGAAAGUUGUAGGCACCAUCGCCAUUGUAAAUCAUUUGACAGGCCCGAGUGAACGGGGCGACCUAUGAUUGGUCAGCAAUGUAUCAGAUUCCAUACUGGGGGGUGGGGAUGAAAAAACUGUUGUAGUGUUACAUAAUCAGAUUAUUUCAACUUACUUAUCCUGUGGAAAUACAGCUAUAUAGGAGAUAUUUUGAAAUUCAUAGGCACUGCAUGUUUCAACAUUUUAGAUUUGACCACAAUUUGGCACUUGAAACUAUGUUAACAGAGAAAAACUGUGUGGUUUUCGAUGAAAGUGUUAAAAGUCUAAUAUUGCAUCAUGAUUACUGUUUAAAGUAUUUUCGUGUUUGAUUUAUAUUGAAUUCAUCUCAUCUUUUUGAAGAAUGCAUUUAUGUUCAAAAAUAAAAAUGUUCUGUGGAAUUCAAAAUUCAUGUGCUUUUAAAUUAUCAGAUUCCAAACUGGGGGGUAGGGAUGAAAAAGCUGUUGUAGUGUUACAUAAUCAGAUUAUUUCAACUUACUUAUCCUAUGGAAAUACAGCUAUAUAGGAGAUAUUUUAAAAUUGAUAGGCACUGCAUGUUUCAACAUUUUAGAUUUGACCACAAUUUGGCACUUGAAACUACGUUAACAGAGAAAAACUGUGUGGUUUUCGAUGAAAGUGUUAAAAAGUCUAAUAUUGCAUCAUGAUUACUGUUUUAAAGUAUAUUCGUGUUUGAUUUAUAUUGAAUUUAUCUCAUCUUUUUACAGAAUGCAUUUAUGUUC